GAUCUGCUUUCUGAGAAACUCUAUUUGCAUUUUGGCAUGAUUCAGAAUUUGGGAGGAGGCAAGCCCAGAACCCUGGGAAUGACUUAAUUACUUUUAAAAAAUAUAGAAGUAGACUUCUAUCCUGGCAGGUGGCUUCAAAGAGCCCUCAAGGUGCCUUGCAAAAUACCGAAAGAGUACAAAGAUAACCCGAGAACAUGAGAGCCCUGUUGGAUCAGACCAAACUUCGAUCAAUCUUAUACUUUCCCCACAGUGGUCGUCUUGUUGCCUCUGCAGAACCCAGAAGCGGAGUCUCUAAAAGGAGAGGAAAAAGAAGCAGACCAAGUGCUUUCAAGAGCGACUCAGGCUGCCUUGGUUUUGCAAGCUGCCCUGCUUUCCAUUUGAACUGUUAGCUGGGGGAGAAUCGGGUGGAAUUUGUUCUCGAAUGUGCUUUGUGCUGUUGAAAACAAGGCUGGUCGAUGAAUAAAAUUCUGUAUGGAGAGAAACGUAAGUCUUGGGCUUAUGGAAGGACCCUUCAUAUGAUAACUUGAAAGAGGGAAGUGGGUUAAUGGUGUAAGUAAUAAAUCAAACUUGCAAGGAGAAAACUGUCUGAGGGUACUAUAUUCACUUGGGGAAUUAGUACGAAGAAUGUAGAAAGGGUUCGGUGUGUCUUAAAUAAUGAAUCCCAAAUAAUUCCAAACUAGCUAAUUGUUUACAGUGUAAGAAGAAGAGUUUGGACUUGAUAUCCUGCCUUUCACUCCCCUUAAGGAAUCUCAAAGUGGCUAACAAUCUCCUUUCCCUUCCUCCCCCACAACAAACACUCUGUGAGGUGAGUGGGGCUGAGAGACUUCAAAGAAGCGUGACUGGCCCAAGGUCACCCAGCCGCUGCAUGUGGAGGAGCGGAGACGCGAACCCGGUUCCCCAGAUUACGAGACUACUGCUCUUAACCACUACACCACACUGGCUCUCAAUGUAAGUCUCAGUGUGUAAGUCAUUGCCAGUUUUUAUAUGUGGAUAUCUUGUUAUUUCUAAUUUGCUCUCCAUUACCUCCCCCCCGCCUUUUCCAUUAUAUUAAUAUUUUAAGGUAUUAUUUUAAGGGUCAUCUCUAGCUAAGUUGCACUGACAGUAGGUCCAUUGAAACUGAUAGAUCCAUGUUAGCCACAUCUAUUAAUUUCAGUGGGUCUACUCUAAACAGAACUAACAUGCUAACUUACCCAAAAUUAGGAUGUGCAGGAAGUAGGGAGACCCCAAAAUUGUUGAGAUUUUUUUGGGAACAAACCCAAAUUGUUGAGCAUUUUUGGGGAAACAAAAAUAGUGAUUUUAAGCUUAUUGAGCUGUUUCCGCUGCUUUCCCGACCAUGUUGCCAUACAUCCAGGUUUUCCCAUAAAUUUUACUGAUUCCCCCCGACGCCAAUUUUACACCUGAAAAUCAGAACAUGUCAGGAAUUUUCCUGACGUAUGGCAAGCCUACCAUAAACCUUUCAACCAAUUUGUGCACUGGUAUUGCUGGACUGAUGCUGAAAGUAGCCUUCUGUACCUAUCACUGGCGGAGGAAGAGGAGAGCGGGGGGAGCGCACCGCCCCCGGCAGCAUGAUCCUGGUGGGGUGCCAUCACAGCUUCUCCCUCCAUAUGCUGGGUGCCACGCCCCCAGGACACACACCAGCCCCGCCCCCACCUGCUCUCCGCCCCCUGGUGCUGGAGCAUGAAGCUCCGCCACUGGUACCUAUGAACUAGGGGGCCAAAAAUGGAUUUGAUUCAUAAGAUCUGGACUGUGAUUUGCUGUCCUCCCCCCCUUUAAGAACUUCAACUUUUAUUGGGGCAGUAGCAGUUCGAAAGCACGUCAAAGUGCAAGUAGAUAAACAGGUACCACUCCGGCGGGAAGGUAAACGGCGUUUCCGUGCGCUGCUCUGGUUCGCCAGAAGCGGCUUUCUCAUGCUGGCCACAUGACCCGGAAGCUGUACGCUGGCUCCCUCGGCCAGUAAAGCGAGAUGAGCACUGCAACCCCAGAGUCGGUCACAACUGGACCUAAUGGUCAGGGGUCCCUUUACCUUUACCUAGCUUAAGGUGGCAGGUGCCGAAUCUUUUCUCUGUGCUAUUUCCCCUGUGAAAUUCAUUUCCCCAAAGCUGCUAUCAGGUUUGUUGGAGGAGAAUAUAUACUGGUAGCAAGGUACUGUGCCUAUCUUUAUUCCCCAGUAUGGCUAAUACAUUUCUUUAGGAUAUUUGUUUGUGGUGCAUGAUUUUGAUUAAAGCAAGUGGUACAGAGAGAACAGCUAAGUAAAACCUUCUUCAGCAUCACAUCUCAAUCAAAUUCUUCUGUCAAUGAAUGCUAGAAGGAGAUGCGGUUUUCGUUUAACUCUUGGAACCAUUUCCCCUGAUGAAUAUGUUGAAACGCAGUUGGGAACUAUUUAUUAGAUUAUAGUUGUUCCCCAUUUGCUUUGACUCUUGCAUUUUUUUUUUCCUCUUCGCAACAACCCUCAGCUGCAACUUGUAGUUUAGAAAGAGGGACAUAACUCUGCCGGACAUUAUCUUGAAAUGCGUCUAUGUUUGCAUGCAUGUUUGCAAAUGCACAUGUUGCACCAUUCUCACUGUUCAGUUCUCAUGCACAGGCAUGCUUUAUUGGCAUGUUCAUUCAGCCUUGCUGAUCUAAUAAGCAAGAUCUCAGUUGGUAUCGCAGCCCGGGUGCUGCAAGAAACAGGCGCUAAGGUGAACUUAUUGACUUGAAGCAUUUUUACUCUGCCUUCCACAUACCAAGGAAUCAAGCAAUAAAAACAAAAAUGGAUUCAUUCAUAGAGCACUCCUAUCCUCUGGGUGGUAAAGCUCUGUCGAUCCCACUGAUCAAGAAGGAAAAUGAGGGGCAACAGCUGCCACGCAGAGGCCACGGAGAGGCAACAGGAUGCUCCUUCACUGCCGCUGCUAUUUGGGACAAACGCCGGCUCACCCUCCUUCUUGAACUUGGCAGCAGCAGCCCUGGCAGGAAAAACAGGGACAUUCUGGGAUCAGAUCAGGAGCUGGGAUGGCUUUUGUAAUUCUGGGAAUGUCCCUGGAAAAUCGAGACACUUGGAAUGGAAUGGGAAUGGUGUGCUUGCAGAUGGUGCCUCCAGGAAUGUUAGCAGCAAGACCACUGAGCAUGUUCCCCAACCCCUAAUGGUGUUUACCUAUCCUAUUCUGGCACUAGUGAUGUAUGGAAGUGAGAGCUGGACCAUAAAGAAGGCUGAUCGCCGAAGAAUUGAUGCUUUUGAAUUAUGGUGCUGGAGGAGACUCUUGAGAGUCCCAUGGACUGCAAGAAGAUCGAACCUAUCCAUUCUUAGGGAAAUCAGCCCUGAGUGCUCACUGAAAGGACAGAUCCUGAAGCUGAGGCUCCAAUACUUUGGCCACCUCAUGAGAGGAGAAGACUCUCUGGAAAAGACCCUGAUGUUGGGAAAGAUUGAGGGCACAAGGAGAAGGGGACGACAGAGGACGAGAUGGUUGGACAGUGUUCUCAAAGCUACCAGCAUGAGUCUGACCAAACUGCGGGAGGCAGUGGAAGACAGGAGUGCCUGGCGUGCUCUGGUCCAUGGGGUCACGAAGAGUCGGACACAACUAAACGACUAAACAACAACAACAAUUCUGGCACAGUCCCUGAAGAGGGCUUCAUUCUUACAACCGCUUGAACGGAUAUGCACAGGACAUGAAUACGGAUAUAUAUGAUUUAAUAUCACAGGUCAAGUGACAGGUCCAUAAUUAAGUAAGGAUUUGAACAUGAGUCUCGGGCUAAGUCCAACACACUUAUCUCUAAAGCAGCCUCUCAGCGUUUAUAUAAAGCUCCACUACUGUGGGAAAGAUUGAAUAUGUGUGUGAGUGACUUCCUGUGAACAGAAAGUUGAUUUGUCUGGAGAAAAACAACAACCCAAUCAGCCUGCAUGAUCAACAGUUAAUGGAUAUCUUUAUUAAUCCACCUAAAUUUGCUGACUCUUGUAUAAUGCAUACGUGAAGCUGCACUUAUACAGCCCUCAUGUCAAUAAAACAUUGUAAAUGUUGCAUUACUCUGAACCGAAACAGUGGCACUCUUGGGACUUGAGAUUCAAAUUAGCUGAUCAUUAAAGGAAUGAAUGGAGGAUCUAAAACCAAUCUCCUCUUGGAUAGAAAGCACGUUUGUUACGGAGCUAGGAAAAGUAAUUUUUGCUCAUUUGGAAGCCAUUUACAAACUUUAUUAGGCAAUACUCAGGUGAUGGAUUUCAAGAGAUAUACCCUGUACAAGCAGCUAUGGCUUGGAACGCCACAAUUAGGUUAAAGGAAUGAAUGCACUUUCCCCCAUUAAUUGCAUGCAAAAGGCAAAACCAAAACACUGGGGACAAAUUCAUACGUUGGUCCAUUACAUAUAUAGAUGCUUUAUGACGUGGGCAUCUGGUUGGAUGCUGUGAGGAAGCUGGAGUAGAUGGUCCAGCAAGACUCUUCUGAUAUUCAUAUCUUCAGAAACUCCCAGAAAUCUGGGGAACACAUGAUCAGAGUAUUGACCAGUGCUUUUAGGGAAAAGUGCUUAAUUUUUAUUUUUUAUUUUUGUAAAGGGAGAUGUGACAGCGCUUGCCAAUGGACUGAAUAUGAGGAACAAAGGCCAGAGAAGAGUAUGGCAAUGUGUGGCUUCAAUAUCUCAGAUAUUUCUGCAGGACAUGCAAUUUCAGCGAAAGGAAGAGAAGGAACGAAAAAGCAUUGUCUAUAAUUGAAUUGUGCUUUUGAAUAUAUGUAGAGCACUUAUACCAGAGGCACUGGUGUGAACUAGAAAUGAAGAUUCCUAAAGUGUUAGAUGGAGGGCAGGGCGGGCAGGAAGGGGAAGUAGAAUUAUUUUAUUUGGGAGAGGAAAAAGAAGUCGGAUGGUUUCAUUUCAAAUUAGGCCAGGCUCCAUUUUGCCCAUUGAAAAGAAGUGGGAUGGUUAGGCUCUCCCAACCCACUUUGAGCACUGGUUGCUAAACAUAAGCAGUUGCCUUAUAUUGCAUCUAGAAACCCAUUUUAUUUUUAUGUUUAAAACUAUUCAGCCAAGGGGACUUAACUCUGAAUUAGACCUCAAUUGUCUUAUUUGAUUAUCUGUAUCUUUGCUGUUACUUUGUACUGUGUCUUUAAACUCAGUCUACUUGUUAUUAGUAUCGCCUGGGGUUGGCUAUAUAUAUUUUUCAAAAAAUGAUGUUAGUAACAGUGACUACAUGAUAGCAUGAGCACUGUUUCAGAGUAUUUUUCAUUAUAUCUGUUCGAAAAAAGAUUGGGUAUGUAACUUUUUUAUGUUACAGUUUAUAAUUUCUACGCUAUUUGAAGUUGUUGUUAUGAAUGUGCAGGUCAUUGUUUGAAUAUUUUAUUUUCAGUUAAUGAAGAAAUUACAUAUCUUUCUACUUACAAGUGUUGAACUAAUUGGCUGAUGAAGAAUUCAAUGAAACAGUAGUUGUUAUCCAGAAACACUGUUCAGCAGAGUUCAGAGUUGGACAUCAAAAUUGGACAUUUGCUGAUUAUACAAAGCUUCACAGCUUGCUCUCUGCCGGGUAAAGUCUGGCACCGUGAUUCAUUUAAUGACUUUCAGAGACUUCAGUUUGUUAGUUCUGAUGUUUUGAAUUAUUCCAUAAAGUUGAUCACAUUGUUA